rnacentral:rRNA from 1 species
GUAGGUGGCAAGCGUUGUCCGGAAUUAUUGGGCGUAAAGCGCGCGCAGGCGGUUCUUUAAGUCUGAUGUGAAAGCCCACGGGCUCAACCGUGGAGGGUCAUUGGAAACUGGAGAACUUGAGUACAGAAGAGGAAAGCGGAAUUCCACGUGUAGCGGUGAAAUGCGUAGAGAUGUGGAGGAACACCAGUGGCGAAGGCGGCUUUCUGGUCUGUAACUGACGCUGAGGCGCGAAAGCGUGGGGAGCAAACAGGAUUAGAUACCCUGGUAGUCAACGCCGUAAACGAUGAGUGCUAAGUGUUAGGGGGUUUCCGCCCCUUAGUGCUGCAGCUAACGCAUUAAGCACUCCGCCUGGGGAGUACGGCCGCAAGGCUG